UGGGGAAUAUUGCGCAAUGGGCGGAAGCCUGACGCAGCAACGCCGCGUGCGGGAUGACGGCCUUCGGGUUGUAAACCGCUUUCAGCAGGGACGAAGCGUGAGUGACGGUACCUGCAGAAGAAGCACCGGCCAACUACGUGCCAGCAGCCGCGGUGAUACGUAGGGUGCGAGCGUUGUCCGGAAUUAUUGGGCGUAAAGAGCUCGUAGGUGGUUGAUCGCGUCGAAAGUGAAAUCUCAGGGCUUAACCCUGAGCGUGCUUUCGAUACGGGUCGACUAGAGGAAGGUAGGGGAGAAUGGAAUUCCUGGUGGAGCGGUGGAAUGCGCAGAUAUCAGGAGGAACACCAGUGGCGAAGGCGGUUCUCUGACCUUUCCUGACGCUGAGGAGCGAAAGCGUGGGGAGCAAACAGGCUUAGAUACCCUGGUAGUCCACGCCGUAAACGGU
rnacentral:rRNA from 1 species